CGUUUUGCAGAUGGGAAAAUUACUUUUGUUGGACAAAAAUUAACACAAACGUAUAGAAUCAGUUCCUCAUACGUUUCCUUGAUCUGUCAUAAUGGUGUUAGUGUGGCAUU